rnacentral:rRNA from 1 species
UUGGUUAAGUUAGAAAGGGCGCACGGUGGAUGCCUUGGCACUAGGAGCCGAAGAAGGACGGGACUAACACCGAUAUGCUUUGGGGAGCUGUACGUAAGCGUUGAUCCAGAGAUUUCCGAAUGGGGGAACCCACUAUCUUUAGUCGGAUAGUAUCCUUACGUGAAUACAUAGCGUGAGGAAGGCAGACCCAGGGAACUGAAACAUCUAAGUACCUGGAGGAAGAGAAAGAAAAAUCGAUUUCCUGAGUAGCGGCGAGCGAAACGGAAAGAGCCCAAACCAAGAAGCUUGCUUCUUGGGGUUGUAGGACACUCUAUACGGAGUUACAAAAGAAAGUUAUAAAUGAAGCGGUCUGGAAAGGCCCGCCAAAGACGGUAACAGCCCGGUAGUUGAAAUAGCUUUCCCUCCAGAGUGGAUCCUGAGUACGGCGGAACACGUGAAAUUCCGUCGGAAUCCGGGAGGACCAUCUCCCAAGGCUAAAUACUCCCUAGUGACCGAUAGUGAACCAGUACCGUGAGGGAAAGGUGAAAAGCACCCCGGAAGGGGAGUGAAACAGUUCCUGAAACCGUGUGCCUACAAGUAGUUAGAGCCCGUUAAUGGGUGAUAGCGUGCCUUUUGUAGAAUGAACCGGCGAGUUACGAUUUGUUGCAAGGUUAAGCGGAAAAAGCGGAGCCGUAGCGAAAGCGAGUCUGAAUAGGGCGAAUAAGUAACAGGUCGUAGACCCGAAACCAGGUGAUCUACCCAUGUCCAGGAUGAAGGUAAGGUAAUACUUACUGGAGGUCCGAACCCACGCACGUUGAAAAGUGCGGGGAUGAGGUGUGGGUAGCGGAGAAAUUCCAAUCGAACUUGGAGAUAGCUGGUUCUCUCCGAAAUAGCUUUAGGGCUAGCCUCGAGGUAAAGAGUCAUGGAGGUAGAGCACUGUUUGGACUAGGGGCCCUUCUCGGGUUACCGAAUUCAGAUAAACUCCGAAUGCCAUGUACUUAUACUCGGGAGUCAGACUGCGAGUGAUAAGAUCCGUAGUCGAAAGGGAAACAGCCCAGACCACCAGUUAAGGUCCCCAAAUAUAUGUUAAGUGGAAAAGGAUGUGGGGUUGCUUAGACAACCAGGAUGUUGGCUUAGAAGCAGCCACCAUUGAAAGAGUGCGUAAUAGCUCACUGGUCGAGUGACCCCGCGCCGAAAAUGUACCGGGGCUAAACAUAUUACCGAAACUGUGGAUGAACCUCUUUAGAGGUUCGUGGUAGGAGAGCGUUCUAAGGGCGGUGAAGUCAGACCGGAAGGACUGGUGGAGCGCUUAGAAGUGAGAAUGCCGGUAUGAGUAGCGAAAGAAGGGUGAGAAUCCCUUCCACCGAAUAUCUAAGGUUUCCUGAGGAAGGCUCGUCCGCUCAGGGUUAGUCGGGACCUAAGCCGAGGCCGAUAGGCGUAGGCGAUGG